UUCACAUGACAUUCUGUUUGACGUAAAAUCAGCAUGUGUCCCAAACAGCCUGGCAGAAACCAUCUUUCUUCUUUUCUUGUGGAUCUCCUCCAUUCUCCACCUCACAAGUCCAGCCCUUCUUCUGCUCCUACACCAGAUAUGCUUGCAGACUUUAGGACCGGCUCUGACUUUUCUGAAUUCCUGAACCAUAUAUUUAAAUCCUUUGUUUUGAAAGAAACUUGAGUUGUUCCACCACAGAUACUGUUUCAUACUCAAACCCUACAUAUGACAGACCAGUUCGCGAUUACGUGAAUGAACUCUACUCUCUCAUGCCUCUGAGACUCGG
rnacentral:lncRNA from 1 species